GGCAUUUUCCAGGCCAUGUGCCUCCUGAUCUGUGCUGAGAUGUACCAAGUCUCCAGACUGCAGCACAUCUGUGAGCUGUUCAUCAUCACCCAGCUGCAGAGCAUGCCCAGCAGGGAGCUGGCCUCCAUGAACCUUGACAUUGUGGACUUGCUCAAAAAGGCCAAGGUGGUUGGCCUGUGGUUGAGUGGGGAUGGUGCUCUUUUAAUUUAAUUUAAAAUAUGCAUAUACUAAUCCACAUUCCUUAAGUUGGCUGUGCUGUGAACAUUGGCAUUAUAGGAAAUAGAAUUUUCUUCCCAUAUUACUGAAAGGAAAAUGGCAGGAUUAGUCUGUAUACUAACUGACAUAGUUACCAAAGCUCUUUUCUCCCUCAUUCAUUCAUCCGUCAAUUCAUUUAUUCCAUGAGCAUGUUUUCAAGUUCAGUGGUAUGACAUGUCUUGCUUUGUUAGGAAUCUAGGAAAAUUAAAAGUGUUAAAGUUGGGCAUCACCUGACUGGCUUCUGCCUCCUUCAUUGCCUAGGACUUAACUGUUAAGAAUGGUGCUCCUACUAAUUUUAGGAAAUGCAUGCAGUUUACACAAGUAUUGUGGAAGGCUGUGGUUGUAAAGAGCUGAGAAUAUGGAAGCCAAAGAUGAGACACAGCAGACCUGUGUCUCUGCGAAGCUGAGCAGAACGGAAGUGGAAUGCAUUUCCCUUUGCCUUUCUUGCAGUUUCACCACUCGGACUGCCUUUCCACCUGGCUGCUUCAUUUCAUCGCCACUAACUACCUCAUAUUCAGCCAAAAGCCUGAAUUCCAGGACCUUUCAGUGGAAGAACGAAGUUUUGUUGAAAAGCACAGAUGGCCAUCAAACAUGUACUUGAAGCAGCUGGCAGAAUACAGGAAAUAUAUCCACUCCCGGAAAUGUCGCUGUUUAGUCAUGUGACCUGAGCUUUUGCAUACUUACACUUUUUUAUUAUUAUGAAGAAUGGGUACUUCUGGAUUCCAGUAAAAUUCUUAUAACUAAAAUCAAUGUUUUUUAAAAAUCACUAUAUAGCUUCUUACUAGUUACCUUUUAAAGACUAUGGUGGUCUUAAAAGGGAACAAAAGCUACCACAGACUUAAUUAAUGCUUCAUCUAGAAUAUAAAACUGUUGGACAUUGGGUCUCCUUUAAGUUUCCCUAUUGCUUUAAUAACAUCAAGACCUCUCCUAGUUAAAAGAUAUUUAAUUUAAAAAAUCUAGGAUAAAUACAAAAAUUUCAUCAUGUCUGAGUGAUUGCUCUGCUAAAAUAAGGGGCAUUUAAAAGCCAAGCGGAACCAUGGGAUUCAGAGGAGCUCUAACCAGUGCAGCAUGAAAUUGUAGAAAUAGAAAUUUGCCCAUGUCUUUGAUAGUCAUGUGUCAUCUGGCUUCCAGUCCAUUAAGAGUAUUUGGAUCAAUAUGAUAGCCCCAUCUGUACCAUCCACCCACAUCUGCUUGUCAAUCAGGCUGCAAACCUAAGUAGGCUGGUAGUUAUCUCUGUGUAACCUUCUAGAGUUUAUCGACUUCCAAACUUAGAAGGGUCUGGCAUUUGGUUCAGUGCUCUGAUAGUACAGUUGUUAAAUUCUUAAAAAUGUCUGAUGAAAGGCUCAUGUUUUCACUUUGCACUGGUUCCCCAAAAUUGUGUGUAUUUCCUA